CUUUCCGCCAGAGAACUACAAGUGAAAAACUUGAAACUCAAAGGACUUGGCGGUGUCCCAUAUCGGCCUAGAGGAGCCUGUCCUAUAAUCGAUACCCCCCGUUUCACCCAACCUCCACUAGCACCCAACAGCCUAUAUACCGCCGUCGACAGUCUACCCCAUGAGGGUUUAAUAGUAGACAAAAUAGCAUGCCCGCUAAUACGUCAGGUCAAGGUGUAGCAAAUGUGGCGGAAGAGAUUGGCUACAUUUUUUAUUUUAAAAAACACGAAAGGCACUAUGAAACCCUGCAUGAAGGUGAAUUUAGUAGUAAAAUAGAUAAGAGUGUCU
rnacentral:rRNA from 1 species